rnacentral:rRNA from 1 species
CUACGGGGCGCAGCAGUGAGGAAUUUUGCGCAAUGGGGGGAACCCUGACGCAGCAACGCCGCGUGAGUGAUGAAGGCUUUCGGGUCGUAAAGCUCUGUCAAGUGGGAAGAACCUAUGCAGUGUUAAUAUCACUGUGUACUGACGGUACCACUGAAGGAAGCACCGGCUAACUCCGUGCCAGCAGCCGCGGUAAUACGGGGGGUGCAAGCGUUAUUCGGAAUCAUUGGGCGUAAAGGGCACGUAGGCGGCUUGGUAAGUCAGAUGUGAAAGCCCGGGGCUUAACCCCGGAAGUGCAUUUGAUACUGUCAGGCUUGAGUAUGGGAGAGGGAAGUGGAAUUCCUGGUGUAGAGGUGAAAUUCGUAGAUAUCAGGAGGAACACCGGUGGCGAAGGCGACUUCCUGGACCAAUACUGACGCUGAGGUGCGAAGGCGUGGGUAGCAAACAGGAUUAGAUACCCCAGUAGUC